CACAGAGCAGCAGAGGAAGCUGCUAGGCCAUGUGCUCUGCUCCCUCAGUCUUCCCAGCACAGGCUGAAGCCCUGUGGGACUGUGUUCCCCAUCUCACCCUGCACAGGGCACACAAGGACACCCCACAGGCAGGCUGGAAGCCCGGAGGUGCACUGAGUGCAGCUGUCAGCCACACAAAACGGGCUCCCCACCAGCUGGUGCACCCCACAGCCGACACGGUGCUCCCCCCUCUGCCCCCCGGGCUGGGCACCCCUGCCCAGGGCCAGGGAUGAUGUUCCACGGGGAGCUGUGCUGGGCUCGGCCCUGCUUGCCCAUUGGCAGGAUUUUGCUGCAGUCUGCUCCGAGCCGGUGGUUUUGGUGGCUGAAGAAACCUGCAGAAAGCAGCGCUGCUGGUGGAUUGGGUCAGACAGGGCUCCGGGGAGGGGGGAGGCUGGGCUGGGUGAAGGAGGUGCUCUGUUCAGCCCUCCGAUGAGCUCAACAUGUGAGGGGAGGCGGCUCGCAGCGGGGCCCGGGGACGGGAGCAUCCCGAGUUGCCAUGGUGACAGCGGCUGCAUCCUCGGGCAGGCGGGAGCAGCGCUGGUGCAGCCCCGCAUGGCUGCUCCCCCCUCCGCUGCCUUCUGGCUGCCGGCCCGGGGACAGCAGGGCCCGGGGACAGGGCGGGGGACAGCUCAGAGCGGAGCCGAGCGAGCCGCAGCCUGUUGCAGCGGGGGUGUGCGGCGGCCCUCCCCUCCCGAAAGGGCGCCCCACCUCUGCUGCCCAUCUCCAUCAUGGACAAAGAGCAGAUGCUGGCAAGGGGAGACAUGAGCAGAGACCAUGAUAUUCCCCCAGCAAUUCCCCAGCAAUCCUGUUUGGAGCCCCCAAAGAGCAGCUGUCCCAGCAGUGGCUCCGCAGCCUCCCAGACUUGCUUUCGCUGCCUGAGUCACUGAAACAACCCGCAGGCAACGGAAAACAAGCCCCGGAGAGAGCGGCGUGAGGCGGGGGCGUGCCACACCACCGACCCGUCCUCUUCUGGCAGCCCGGGGACCACGAUACCCCUGCAGCAAACCUGCAUGGUGGAGGGGGGCUUGAGGGACAUCGCAUCAGCCCAGAGUGGAGCAAUAAGGACCCCAGACUUUGCAACGACCCCUACAGCCCACCCGUACCCCCCUCACAGCCCUGUGAGCAGGCGCCCGGGAAAGCUUCACCUGUGAGCCGGCGUUGUGGAGCGGAGCCGAGCUGACGUGGCCCUGGGCUGGCUGCACCUGGCCAGGUCAAGAUCUGAAGCAGAGGCCCUGGAGGGGAUGGUGGAGCCCUGUCUACUGCCCUGGAGCUCUACUAAUUUUGCACACCGGAACUGGGAGAAAUAUGGAAUAGGCUCAUCUUCGAUUUUUCUCACUGACUUCUGG